rnacentral:sRNA from 1 species
AAUUCUUUUUCAACAACUAAAUUAUCAUCAAUGAGAGAUAUCUAAGGGUGUCAAAAUGGGUCAAAAUUCAUGGGUCAACUCAACUCAACUCAACCCAUGAACCCUAAUGAGUUGAAAAUUUUGACUCAAAUGAGUUGAUGGGUCAAAUGAGUUGAUGAGUCAAUUGGUUUGAUGAGUAAAAUGAGUUGGGUUGUAAUGGUUAAUGGUUUCAAUGGUUUACCCAAUUACCCAUCAAAUUUUGUAAAAUUGAAUUAAACCAACUAAAAUCUCUAAACCAAUACCAAUUUAAGUUUAACCAACACAUCUAAACCAAUUUAAUAAAAUUAAUAUUUUUCCAAAUUUCUUAAAUAUACAAGCGAUGAAAUUGAGAAAAAGUAAACUCGUAAUUUUUCCACCAAAAAACAUAAACCCGUGAUUUUCCCGCCAAAAACAUAAACCCAUGAUUUUCCUACCAAAAACGUAAAUCCAUAAUUUUCCCGCUAAAAACGUAAACUCCUAAUUUUCCCACAAAAACGUAAACCCGUAAUUUUCCUUCCAAAAACGUAAACCCGUGAUUUUCCCGCCAAAAACGUAAACUCCUAAUUUUCCCGCCAAAAACGUAAACCCGUAAUUUUCCUUCCAAAAACGUAAACCCGUAAUUUUCCUUCCAAAAACGUAAACCCGUGAUUUUUCCGCCAAAAACGUAAACCCAUGAUUUUCCCGCCAAAAACGUAAAUCCAUAAUUUUCCCGCCAAAAACAUAAACCCGUAAUUUUCCGCCAAAAACGUAAACCCGUGAUUUUUCCGCCAAAAACGUAAACCCGUGAUUUUCCCGCCAAAAACGUAAAUCCAUAAUUUUCUUGCCAAAAACAUAAACCCGUAAUUUUUCACCAAAACCGUAAAUCCGUGAUUUUCCCGCCUAAAACGUAAACCCGUGAUUUUCCCGCCAAAAACGUAAAUCCAUAAUUUUCCCGCCAAAAACAUAAACCCGUAAUUUUCCGCCAAAAACGUAAACCCGUGAUUUUCCCGCCAAAAACAUAAAUCCGUGAUUUUCCCGCCAGAAACGUAAACUCGAGAUUUUCCCGCCAAAAACGUAAACCCGUAAUUUUCUCGCCAAAAACGUAAAAACCUAUAAUUUUUCCGCCAAAAACGUAGAUCCGUGAUUUUACGUACAAAAAACGUAAACCCGUAAAAAGUGGAAUCCGUAAAUAUCUUAAGUUUGAUGAUAAUGAAUUAAUAAUUAUU